rnacentral:rRNA from 1 species
CAGUCGCCGCGGUAAUACAGAGGGUGCGAGCGUUAAUCGGAUUUACUGGGCGUAAAGCGUGCGUAGGCGGCUUCUUAAGUCGGAUGUGAAAUCCCUGAGCUUAACUUAGGAAUUGCAUUCGAUACUGGGAAGCUAGAGUAUGGGAGAGGAUGGUAGAAUUCCAGGUGUAGCGGUGAAAUGCGUAGAGAUCUGGAGGAAUACCGAUGGCGAAGGCAGCCAUCUGGCCUAAUACUGACGCUGAGGCACGAAAGCGUGGGGAGCAAACAGGAUUAGAGACCCCAGUAUCCCUGUCUCUUAUACA